rnacentral:rRNA from 1 species
GAUGAACGCUGGCGGUAUGCCUAACACAUGCAAGUCGAACGAACCCUUCGGGGUUAGUGGCGGACGGGUGAGUAACACGUGAGAACCUACCUUCAGAACGGGGACAACCGUUGGAAACGACUGCUAAUACCCGAUGUGCCGAGAGGUGAAAGAUUUAUCGUCUGAAGAUGGGCUCGCGUCUGAUUAGCUAGUUGGGGGUGUAAGAGACCACCAAGGCGACGAUCAGUAGCUGGUCUGAGAGGAUGAGCAGCCACACUGGGACUGAGGCACGGCCCAGACUCCUACGGGAGGCAGCAGUGGGGAAUUUUCCGCAAUGGGCGAAAGCCUGACGGAGCAAUACCGCGUGAGGGAGGAAGGUCUUUGGAUUGUAAACCUCUUUUAUCAGGGAAGAAGAACUGACGGUACCUGAUGAAUAAGCAUCGGCUAACUCCGUGCCAGCAGCCGCCGUAAAAC